GGCAGGUCAGGCUCCCUGUGUGGCUCCCAUGGCUCACUAUGUGGCAGGCACAGGCUGUGUCUGUGUUUUCUGUUGGCUCACUAUGUGGCAGGCACUGCUCCCUCUGUGUUUGUGAAUGGCUCACUAUGUGGCAGGCACCCGCUGUGUCCGUGUUUCCCGUUGGCUCACUAUGUGGCAGGCAGUGCUCCCUCUGUGUUUCCCCUUGGCUCACUAUGUGGCAGGCACGGACUCCCUAUGUGGUUCCCACUGGCUCACUAUGUGGCAGGCACAGGCUGUGUCCGUGUUUUCUGUUGGCUCACUAUGUGGCAGGCACUGCUCCCCCUCUGUUUCCCAUUGGCUCACUAUGUGGCAGGCCAG
rnacentral:lncRNA from 1 species